rnacentral:lncRNA from 1 species
UUUCCAUAGCUUAACCCCAUUGAAAUUGACAAUUUUGAGUUAAAAAUUUUCAAAUUGCCUAAUAUUUGACAUGCAUGUUUGGAAUGACUAGAAUUGAGGUUUCACCUUAUUAAGCCCUACAAAUAAUAGCCAAAUGAAGUUAAACAUAUUUUUCAACAUGCUACAAUAACACCUUGUAAAAUUCAUUUUAACUACGUUUAUUCUUUACAAGGAUUACCAAGAUGAAAUUUAAUU